CACCCUACACUGCCCACACACCCUCAUGCCACCUCACACACACCUCAUACCCUCACACACAGCACACACACCCUCACACCACACCAUACACACCAUCACACACCCUCACACCCUCACACUCAUCCCACACACCCUCCACACACACCUCAUGCCCUCACACUUAGCUCACACACCCUCACACACACUCCACACACACCUCAUACCCUCACACACUGCCCACACACCCUCACGCCACCCCACACACAGCAUCGCACACCUUCAUACCCUCACACUGAGCCCACACACCCUCACACACAGCUCACGCACACCUCAUGCCCUAACCCCACCCCAUGCACACCAUAGCACACCCUCAUACCCUCACACUCAGCACACACACCCACACAUACUCCACACACACCUCAUACCCUAACCCCACCCCAUACACACCAUCCCACACCCUCAUACCCUCACACUCAGCACACACACCCUCACACACACCCUCACACACAACUGCACACCCUUAUGCACACCCACACAAAUCUCAUACCCUCACACACACACCCCACACAGUCUCACACACAUUCCACACACACCUCAUACUCUCACACACACCCCACACACUCUCACACCCAUUCCACACACACCCCACACACUCUCACACACACUCCACACACACCUCAUACCCUCACACAUACACCAUACACAAUCAUACAUACAUUCCUCACAUACCUCAUACCCUCACACACACCACACACACUCACACACAUUCCACAGACACCUCAUACCCUCACACACACACCCCCACACACACACAUCUCCUCAUACCCUCACACACACCCCACACACCCACACACACACUCACACACAACUGCACACCUUUAUGCACACCCACACACACCUCAUACCCUCACACACACCCCACACACCCCCACACACCCUCACAUACACUCUCACACACACCUGCACACCCUCACACACACACACACAUACCUGCACACAAACACACACACUCACACCCUCACACACCUCACCAUAGGCGAGCAGGGCCAGUUAGUAGCUGCUGUGUGGGGAGUGGGGGCAUAGAGAUGAGAAGAAACCCACUUCUAUUUUAGCAGUGAUAACUUAUGAGCACUAAGGAGUCAUUUU
rnacentral:lncRNA from 1 species